UACGUAGGGUGCGAGCGUUGUCCGGAAUUACUGGGCGUAAAGCGUGCGUAGACGGUAGCGUAAGUCGGGUGUGAAAGCCCCGGGCUCAACCUGGGAAUUGCAUUCGAGACUGCUCUGCUAGGGUGCGGAAGAGGGAAGCGGAAUUUCCGGUGUAGCGGUGAAAUGCGUAGAUAUCGGAAGGAACACCAGUGGCGAAAGCGGCUUCCUGGUCCAGCACCGACGUUCAGGCACGAAAGCGUGGGGAGCAAACAGG
rnacentral:rRNA from 1 species